GUUAUUUUCCAGGGCUUUGCAAAUUUUGCUUGCCGCUCUGGCCAAAUCUUUGGAAUACCUUGUUUGCUUGUUACCCUAAUAAUUCAUUUAGAAGCUGAAUUAAUGCUCAUUGUGACCAGAUCCAUUGCUAAUGCAAUACUUUUGCCAUGGAGGGUGACUCUUCUGCAGUAAAUGCACUUGAGAGACGGUGCGGGCUGAUGGAAAGAGCACUGAAGUAGGAGCUAGGGGUUCCUUCUGGUCUCCUUUGCUUAGCAGCUGCUAGAAAGUUACCCAACCUGUUUUUUAACCCAUCGAUAAAGUACGCACAUUUAUCUCACAGGAGUGCACAAAGGAUUGUUUGCACAGUGCUUGGAAGAUGAAAAGGUGCUAGCAUUAGUACUUUGUAUUUAAACACACUGCUGAGUAGAAAGCCUUCUUGGUAAAAUCUAGCGUGGGCACUGGUAGUGUCAGGAGCUCUUGAUGGACAGCCUUGCUUGUAAAGACAAAAGCUCAUUCUCUACAUUGUGUAUUCCCUAUUUCCUGAAGGAUAUUUCAUCUCGUGAAGUGAUGACCUGAUGUUGCCUGCCUCUGCUCAUUGGAGGCUUUCAAAGUAUUAUGCAGUGUUAAUUUUCCUACUUCUAAAAUGGUGGCAAUCUGAAGGUAUGUAGGUGAAAUCACUUGCUGAAGUUCAUAUAGGAGGAAAACUUUGGUUUCCUAGUGAUUAAUUCUCACAAUACCUCCAACCUAACUCAUGUAUUACUAAAAUUAUUGAUGAAAGGCAAUUGCUGUAGGGUAUUAUUCACAAGCCAUUAAUCCUUGCUUGUACUGGAAUACUUCAGCCGACUUGGAGGCCGAAACAUCCCUGUUCAUUCACUGACAAUAAGGUAGACCAUUCAGGGCUGCCUGUCUUUCAGCGUUGUAGUCUCUUCUUCCCAAAACAGUGGAUGCUUUGAUUUUUAAUUAACGUAACAUGUUUAAAAAUAUAGUUGUGCUCUUCUGUUGCAACAGUGCACUGUAAUCAUUCCCUCUGCCUCCCUAAAAACUCUCUCUGCUUUUGGUCUUGCAAGUCAAAUUAACAUUAAAUUGCCAUAAUUUUGCAUUCUGUCAGUGGGAAGCCAUCUGACAGCAGAGUGCUGAAGGCGGCCAAGUAGAAUCGAAUGCAUCAGAACAUACAUUUGUCAUUGAGGAGGACUUAAAAGUGGUUUUGCUUCUCAAAUCUGAGCACGCGUAUCAACACUUAAUAUGAGCAUCAGCAAAACUGUGCAGUUGGGAAGAGAAGUCCUGGUCCUGCUGGUCUCGUGGAAGGUGCCCAGUGAUAUAGAAGGGGGAGAGGUAUCUCUGAAGCCUGGCCUCGCCUCAGUGGUGUCCUCUUGGCUCAGUGACUCAUGUAGGGGCAGUGAAGCUUUCAUUUUUUUCAGUGGUAGCUCAGAUGUGUUUCUGAAUUUUUAAUUUCCCCUACUCGGCUGCAUACCAGUCACUCAGGUGGUGCUGAGGAGGAACCGAGUGUGCUUGCUGUAGCUUCGGGUUUGCAGAAGUUGCUGGCACAGAUUUCUUUGCUCCUCUUACCUUGUAGAGUUUACUCCGUGUUUAGUUUUGGGGCAGCAUGAAAAGGCUGCUUUACCCUUGGAAGUUGGGGGGCGGGGAGAGACAGUCCCUCUAAUGUUUAUAUAAUUGACUUUUGUUAAAGACUAAUGACUUGAAUUGUUCAGAUUACAGUUCCGGGUUAUUACAUUUCAUGUGUAAGACGUUCUUCAUGUUGCACAUUAGACUGCUUGGCUUGCCAAGCUUCUAAGGAGGGUUGUGACUAAGUCAACACGUGUUCUGUUUCCUAGACGUAACGUUUUCCUUUACUUAAUAUAUCAGUAUUGAGAGCAAACAUGAAGUCACAAUCCUAGGAGGACUCAAUGAAUUUGUAGUGAAGUUUUAUGGACCACAAGGAACACCAUAUGAAGGUGGAGUGUGGAAAGUUAGAGUGGACCUUCCUGAUAAAUACCCAUUCAAAUCCCCAUCUAUAGGAUUCAUGAAUAAAAUUUUCCAUCCCAACAUUGACGAAGCGUCAGGAACUGUAUGUCUAGAUGUAAUUAAUCAAACUUGGACAGCUCUCUACGAUCUCACCAAUAUAUUUGAAUCGUUCCUGCCCCAGUUGCUGGCCUAUCCUAACCCUAUAGAUCCUCUAAAUGGUGACGCCGCAGCCAUGUAUCUUCACCGACCAGAAGAGUACAAACAGAAAAUUAAAGAAUACAUUCAGAAAUAUGCAACAGAAGAAGCACUAAAAGAACAGGAAGAAGCCACCGGGGACAGCUCGUCAGAGAGCUCCAUGUCUGACUUCUCGGAAGACGAAGCGCAGGAUAUGGAGUUGUAGUAGAAGAAGCGACCUGCUUUUCAGAGAGACUAUUAUUUCCUAACCAUGAGAAGCAGACUAUAAUAUUCAUAUUUAAACAAAGCAAUUUUUUUUAUUACUAAACAAGGUUUUUAUGAAUAAUAGCAUUGAUAUAUAUAUAUAUAUCACCCUUUAGAUCUUGAUUUCUUGGUCAUUUCUCAAACCCAAGGUGCAUAGCAUAUUCCCACAUUCCAUUUUGGUAGCAAUAUGCAGCCCGAAUGCAUGCAUUCAUAAUUCCAUUUGGCCAAGUCCACUUGUGUGCUACUGAACUGUCAACUAAAAACAGCUGCUCUGGUAGGUAGGGAGUUAGUAAAGAUUUUUUUGUUGUUGUUGUUUUUUGUUUUUUGUUUUUUUUUUUCCCUCCUUUUUAUCAGUGUUUCCAAAGACACCACCUUGGAUGCUGAUGCAGCACAGCGCUUUCUCAAAGUAACUAUGUCCCUCCCUCUCCCCAACCCCCGGCUCUAUUGGCUAGCUGGGUUUUUCACGUAGAGCACUUGCGCGCACUCCCUCCUUUCAAGAAGCCCGUUUUUCCACUAGAAGCAGGUGUCCAGUCCUAAGCAUCCAAAGGAAUUGCAGUGAGAGCUGCCGCUGUCUAAGGCAGGCUCCCGGGAGAGCAGGCACACGCCUUACCGCCCUGGUCUCCCUGUUGGAAGGUGCACGGCGGUUCUCUUGUCCAAGCCGCUCCAGUUCCCCUGUACCUCCUUUUAUACACGCAGACACUUGUGGGUCUAGAUCUGGAACUGUGUUCUUCAACUGCAACGCUUUUCCUCGGACGUUUAAUUGAGGAGAACGGUGGAGUUUGUAGCCUUGCCUGCCAGAUGUUGAAGGUUCACCUCUUUCGUGCUGGAUCCCUUCCCCCUUGCGGUGACGGCAGUAGGGAAGGAAGCCUGCAGUAAGCUAUCGUUUGCAAGGAUCCAGCCUCGAGCGAAAUGCCGAUUCGAGGAUAAACUCAAAUGGAUUUGACUUAUUUUUUCCCCAGAUGGGAACAGCUGCUUGUAGCCUCAUUCCACCCGUCUCCUGUGAGCACCGUUCUUUUGAUCUCCUUCCCCUUCUUCAAGCCAGAACAGCCUGUAAAUACAACUACUCCCACCUAGUCUUCAAGGGAAACAUGGAACUGCUUUGAAACGAGAUGCCCUUCUUUUUUUCUUUUUUUUUUUUUCCUUUUUAAGUUUGGUUCCUUUAGAAAUGCUAGCAGACGUCUCCAAGCACCACUGCCGAUUUCUGCGCCCCCACCCCUGUUCUGAUCUCUCGACUUCAAAGCGUCAGCUGGACGGGAGUCGCCAGGCCUGCUCCAGCAUAGCCAUGUUCGAUACGUAUCCUCAUAGUCCGGAUGAACCUCCAAGUAUGGAAGUUUCUGAGUCACCUGCUGCAACCAUUUGGGGAUCUGGCUCCUUUGGCUUUAGAUCCAGUAGCUUACCACCUUGGUGUAUCUUCUCUUCUGUACAAAAUAUCAAAGCUGCCAUUGAUCAACAGAUCUCGCGCUCCCGCCUUGAGAAGGUCCAUACAUUUGCCAACAAGGCUCAUCUUUAAACCUUCAUCAGAAAUGGGUUUUAGCUCAUCUGGAGGCUUCUGAGUAUUGUACUUUUAUUUUUUCACUAGACCUUCCAUUGUGACAACUCUACACUGUGGGAGGAGGGGACCCGGAGGAGGGCAUAUUGGAGGAAGUGAAUCUUUUACGGAGUGAAUCCUGGAUGCAGAUCGGGAGCGUUUCCCCAGCUCUGCUUUGUCUUAUCUGGUAACGCGCGCUCGCGAUCAGGAAAGCAGCGAGUCGCAUGCGACUCCUUGUACUUCAGACGUCCCAGUUGGCCAAGUAGGUUGAAGGGAACGGAAGCAACUGUGCAGUUCAUGUGCCACCUCGCACGACCCACCCUCACCCCACACGCAAGGCGGAGAGAACGGAGCUCCCUGCUCGGCCUUUCUCUCCCUCCCUCCUUCCCUGGCAUGGAUGAGAAAUGCUGGAAGCUGUGCUGCACUUGGCUUGCCCUGGCUUCUGCUUUGCAGGUAGAUGCAUCGCAGCAUUUUGAUGUGUCAGUGCUAGCUCUGAUCAGCAAAGACCCCACCACGUUGCCAGAGCUGUUUCACAUCGCGCAGGGGCACUGGGGUUGGGGGGUUGCUAGUUUCUUAUUUUCCCCCUUUUUAUAUAUCCAUCUAUUUUUUUUUUUUUUUUUUGCUUCCUUUUUGCCCAUCUUGAGUUCUGCUGGCACUUUAGCAGGCGUGCGUGUGGCAUGAGAAAUGGCCAUUAUUUUACUGACUGUAUUUGGUACAUAUUGUGUGAUACUUGAAGAGAUCCAGGGUGUUGAGCCCUCCAUUUGGAGUCUAAGCUUUUUGGGUUCGUUCUUUUUUUUUUCUUUUUCUUUUUUUUCCAGCCCCCUCCUCCCCUUUUUCUUGCAUUGUGAUGAUGUAGUGGGCAUGCCUGUCACCAUGACAAAUGCCUCUUCUAUAACUUUUCUCAAAUAGUUGUGUAUAAUUAAAGAACUGUAAACUUUUUUUAAAUAAAAUAUGUAUAUACCUUG